UCGAACGAGAAAGUCGGUUUCGGCCGAUGAGUAAAGUGGCGCACGGGUGAGUAACGCGUGGAUAAUCUACCCUUUAGUCCGGAAUAACUUGCCGAAAGGUGAACUAAUACCGGAUGACAUCCCGGGUUCUCCGGAAACCGGGAUCAAAGAAGGCCUCUGCUUGCAAGCUUUUGCUGAAGGAUGAGUCCGCGUACCAUUAGCUAGUUGGUGGGGUAAUGGCCUACCAAGGUUAUGAUGGUUAGCUGGUCUGAGAGGAUGAUCAGCCACACUGGAACUGAAACACGGUCCAGACUCCUACGAGAGGCAGCAGUGAGGAAUAUUGCGCAAUGGGGGCAACCCUGACGCAGCAACGCCGCGUGAGUGAGGAAGGUUUUCGGAUUGUAAAGCUCUGUCGAGCGGAAAGAAAUGCACGAUGGCUAAUAUCCAUCAUGCUUGACGGUACCGCUAGAGGAAGCACCGGCUAACUCCGUGCCAGCAGCCGCGGUAAUACGGGGGGUGCAAGCGUUGUUCGGAAUCAUUGGGCGUAAAGAGCGUGUAGGCGGCUGGACAAGUCAGAUGUGAAAUCCCUGGGCUUAACCCAGGAAGUGCAUUUGAAACUGUCUAGCUGGAGUAAGGGAGAGGAAAGUGGAAUUCCUGGUGUAGAGGUGAAAUUCGUA
rnacentral:rRNA from 1 species